GUACACUCCUGCGGGAGGCAGCAGUGGGGAAUAUUGGACAAUGGGCGCAAGCCUGAUCCAGCCAUGCCGCGUGAGUGAUGAAGGCCCUAGGGUUGUAAAGCUCUUUCACCGGAGAAGAUAAUGACGGUAUCCGGAGAAGAAGCCCCGGCUAACUUCGUGCCAGCAGCCGCGGUAAUACGAAGGGGGCUAGCGUUGUUCGGAAUUACUGGGCGUAAAGCGCACGUAGGCGGAUCGAUCAGUCAGGGGUGAAAUCCCAGGGCUCAACCCUGGAACUGCCUUUGAUACUGUCGAUCUGGAGUAUGGAAGAGGUGAGUGGAAUUCCGAGUGUAGAGGUGAAAUUCGUAGAUAUUCGGAGGAACACCAGUGGCGAAGGCGGCUCACUGGUCCAUUACUGACGCUGAGGUGCGAAAGCGUGGGGAGCAAACAGGAUUAGAUACCCCUGUAGUCC
rnacentral:rRNA from 1 species